ACGGAAGGCAGCAGUGAGGAAUAUUGGUCAAUGGACGAGAGUCUGAACCAGCCAAGUCGCGUGCAGGAUGACGGCCCUCCGGGUUGUAAACUGCUUUUAGUUGGGAAUAAAAAAGAGGUCGUGACCUCUAUUGUAUGUACCAUCAGAAAAAGGACCGGCUAAUUCCGUGCCAGCAGCCGCGGUAAUCCGGAAGGUCCGGGCGUUAUCCGGAUUUAUUGGGUUUAAAGGGAGCGUAGGCGGGCCUUUAAGUCAGGGGGAAAGGCGUGUGGCUCAACCAUACCACGCCAUUGAAACUGGAGGCCUUGAGUGCACACAGGGAAGCUGGAAUUCGUCGUGUAGCGGUGAAAUGCUUAGAUAUGACGAAGAACUCCGAUCGCGAAGGCAGGUGUCCGGGGUGUAACUGACGCUGAGGCUCGAAAGUGCGGGUAUCAAACAGGAUUAGAUACCCUGGUA
rnacentral:rRNA from 1 species